rnacentral:lncRNA from 1 species
AGGAUGGGAAAGAUGACAUGAUUUCACGACUCAUAAAGAAAGUGAUGGAGCUGUAGCUUGAAUUCUUUUACUUCAAAUCCACAAUGCCAUGCCUUGCUCCAGUGAAGGACGGACUGCUGUUCUGUCUCCUAAAACCCACACAGCUCGCCUGGAGCUUCAAAUGUGAGAACACAUUCCAGCUGCAGGAUCAGAGGACUUUUCCUACAGCCCAUAAGUGCCUGCAGCUCUAUCGGAUUUGCAAAUCUACAAAAGAGAGCACAUCCUAUUGUUCCCGGUUUUGAGUUUUUUUAAUAGUAUGUCUUGUAAAAUGCUGGUUGCUGGUGGACAGGGGUGUUUUACAGAUAGGUGUGACUCAGGAGGGGAAAUGGGUGGGCAGAGACAGCCACAAGGAAUUCCACACAUGAAGGAAAUGCUCCCACUUGUGUUUUCUAUUUGUGUUUUAAAUUUGGGGAGCGACUCACAGGCACUCAGCAAAAGUAACUAAUUAUAUUAACCUUAUCAGUAGUGAGGUUUCCUGGUCUCUCAUCAGACACUCAGCUCACUGGCUGGUAUUUAAUUGGGAGCCUGGUGGCCAGUGAAAACAGUGUGGGAUGAGUCACACUUUAACAAGUUUUUAUAGUACAGCAACCUUGCUGUAUAAUAGCCAGACAUUAUUAAAAUUCAGAUAUGGUACACUGACUUGUUUGUUUUCCUUAUUCACAUGAAACAGAUGCUCAGGACUCAUUUUACUUACACACAGUAAAUGAGGGUCAGCUGUGUUGAGGGAAGUGAGUACUUUGUUCUGG